GCCUUUGUGGUGUAACGGUAGCACACUUCGCUCAUAUUCCAGAUAUCCGGGUUCAAGUUCCGGUGAGGGCA
rnacentral:tRNA from 1 species